UUCCACCCACCUUGGAGGUUACUCAACAGCCCGUGAGGGCAGAGAACCAGGUGAAUGUCACCUGCCAGGUGAGGAAGUUCUACCCCCAGAGACUACAGCUGACCUGGUUGGAGAAUGGAAACGUGUCCAGGACAGAAACGGCCUCAACCCUUACAGAAAACAAGGAUGGUACCUACAACUGGAUGAGCUGGCUCCUGGUGAAUGUAUCUGCCCACAGGGAUGAUGUGAAGCUCACCUGCCAGGUGGAGCAUGACGGGCAGCCAGCGGUCAGCAAAAGCCAUGACCUGAAGGUCUCAGCCCACCCGAAGGAGCAGGGCUCAAAUACUGCUCCUGUGAGUCUGGAGUUUUACAGAAGGGGAAACCAGGACUUGGGAAGCAAUGGGGGAUAUUGUUGAAGACAAUUAGAUCAAGGCAUUAGACCAGAUGACUGGCCCAAACUAAUUAAGGCCCAGCACUGGCUUCUGCUGCUCCACUUCUCAUAGCUUUCCUCCUGGGCCCCAAGGUGCUGCUGGUGGUUGGUGUCUCUGUCAUCUAUGUCUACUGGAAGCAGAAGGCCUGACUAAGCACUCUGAGGCCCUCAGCAGCAGAUGCAAGUACCAUGCUUCUUGUACAGUCUGCAGAACCAAAAGCCAAAUAAACCUCUCUUUAUAAAUUA
rnacentral:lncRNA from 1 species